CGUAGCUGAGGGGCGAUGGGAGACAGGGAGCAUCCUGCCGUGCCACCGGCAGCCCGGGGACCAGUGCUGUGGGUGCCGGCAUGAAGCUCCUCCGUCUGUCAAAACGGGAGCUGCGGUUCUGGCUGCAGCGGCAGGAACUCAGCGCAGCCCUGCAGAGAGCGGUCCGGCAGCACNAGAAGAAGAUGACGGCCGUGGAGUGCGAGAGCCUCAGCAGCGUCUGCAGCCCGUGAGGAGCUGAGCGGGGCUGGGAAGAGGAAGCUGUGGGAGUCCUGGGGAGGGGCGCGCAAUGACAGCAUCAGUGGCAGAAUCAUCUGCUUCCUCCUCCGCUCCUGAUACCGUGCGCUGGUUUUCUUUGAGAAGCCAGUGCAGAACCAGACUCCACUGUCACAUCUGUGGGGUUCCACAGAACACACAGACAUGGGGGACACAGUGUGUUGGAUUGCUGUUUGUUGCAGAACACCAGCACAGGGCAGGACUGGGGACUGGGAAGAUCACAGAAGAUCACAGAAACACCAAGGUUAGAGAAGUCCUACAAGAUCAUCCAGUCCAACCAUCCACCUAUCACCAAUAGUUCUCACUAAACCAUAUCCCUCAACACGAAAUCCGAACGUUCCUUGAACAACUCUAGGGUUGGUGACUCCACCACCUCCGUGGGCAGCCCAUUCCACUGCCUGACCA